rnacentral:rRNA from 1 species
UACGAAGGGGGCUAGCGUUGCUCGGAAUCACUGGGCGUAAAGCGCACGUAGGCGGCUUCUUAAGUCAGGGGUGAAAUCCUGGAGCUCAACUCCAGAACUGCCUUUGAUACUGAGAAGCUUGAGUCCGGGAGUGGUGAGUGGAACUGCGAGUGUAGAGGUGAAAUUCGUAGAUAUUCGCAAGAACACCAGUGGCGAAGGCGGCUCACUGGCCCGGUACUGACGCUGAGGUGCGAAGGCGUGGGGAGCAAACAGG